UACGUAGGGGGCAAGCGUUAUCCGGAUUCACUGGGUUUAAAGGGUGCGUAGGUGGGCAGGAAAGUCAGUGGUGAAAUCUCCGGGCUUAACCCGGAAACUGCCGUUGAUACUAUUUGUCUUGAAUAUUGUGGAGGUAAGCGGAAUAUGUCAUGUAGCGGUGAAAUGCUUAGAUAUGACAUAGAACACCAAUUGCGAAGGCAGCUUACUACACAAUGAUUGACGCUGAGGCACGAAAGCGUGGGGAUCAAACAGG
rnacentral:rRNA from 1 species